AUUAAUAACCCAAUACUAUUAUACAUAUUCUUACCACUUACUCUUAUUCAACCUUAAGAGGUUCACAUCAUCCUAAUCACAUAUUUCUUAAUCCAAGUGCUAAAAAAUUAAUAGUAUCAAUAGCUUGGUACUAUUGAUAGUAUUCCAGCCUAGUUAUAUAUGUAUAGAGAGAGAGAGAGAGAGAGCUAGUCUCCUACACUAUCUAUAGUAUUGAGACUCCGGUACUAUAGUUUCGUUUUUUAUCUUAGAGUGUUCAAAUCAAUGAUCUACACUGUUAAAACUGAUGUAGAGUAUUUAAAGCUUUUAGACAUAAAAUUUUAUAUUUUUUCGAUAUAAUUUACUUUAUGAUCAAAACAUUUUAAAAUUGUCAAUUUUUAAUAGCUACUAUAGCAAGUUCGGAGUUUAACAAUAUAGAAGAAUCUAAAUUUCUUCAAAAUUUGAUAGAAAAUACUUUAAACUAUCUAGAUUAAAGUUAACAUUCUUGAUCUUGAAUUAAAAGUUCUUAGGCUACUAUACUAUCUAUGGUACCGGAGCUCCGGUACACUCUCUCUCUUUCUCUCUCUCUCUCUCUCUCUCUCUCUCUCUCUCUCUCUCUCUCU
rnacentral:lncRNA from 1 species